AUUUGUAUUAUAUUAAAAAAAAAAUAAUUUUAUGGCUAGUAUAUAAAGAGACUAUUAUGGAAAAUAAAAAGCUGUAUAUUAAACAACGAGUACCGUAAAAAUGGUGAAAUAAUUUUCAUUUAUUAGGGAAAAGGGUAGAAGAAUUUCUAAUAAAAAAACGAAGUGAAUUGAAGUAUCUUAUUAGCUUUAGGAAAAUAAAUCAAACGAGAUUCUAUUAGUAGUGUGAAUGAAAAUAGAUAUAGGCUUAAAGUAAACUGGAUAAAUCUGUUUGAAUAUAGGGGAACCUUCCUCUAAGCCUUAAUAUAAUAUACAAGAAAUAGAGAAUAGUACUGUGAAGGAAGUAUUUUAAAUAGUAGUCUUAUAAGCAGCUCAAGGUAAGUUUAGUAAACAUAUGAGAGCGUACCUUUUGUAUAAUGGGUCAGCAAGUUCUAGUUAGAUGCAAGCAAGUAAUAGUAAAAUGAUAAAUUAUAGAAUAAAAAUAACAAAAGAACCACAGGUGUGAGUAAGAAUAUGUCUAUAGGAUAUCAUUUUAUGGGACAUUUGCCUAGAUAAUCCAAUUAUUAAGUAAUGAAUUAGUAUCUAAUUAGAGACCCGAAGAGUAGUGAUCUUACCAUGGUCAGGCUUAUAAAAGGCCGAAUGGGUUAUCGUUGUAGAGAUAUCCAAAGAACUGUGGUAAGUUAGUGAAAGACAAUCCUGACUACUAUAGCUGGUUUUCCGCGAAACAUAUGUAAGUAUGUAGUUUAAAUAACAUCAUAGCAGGUACAGAACUGUAAUCUCGGACAAUUUGUGCAUUAGUAUCCUAUUAGGUUAUAUAAUGCCUUGUGCAUAUGGGGGGGUCGUGAAGACUCUAUUCGCGAGUAUUUGCUCUCGGAAGGGCAAUGAUGAAUAUUGAACUAUCAGACAUUUAACGAUAAGGUUGUGUGUCAAAAGGGAAACAGCCCAGAACAAGUGUUUAAGGUUCCAAAGUUUUUGUUAAGUGAAAGUAAGGAAGUAUUUAAACUAUACAACCAGGAAAUAGGCUUAGAAGCGGCCAUUUUUUAAAGACCUCGUAACAGAGCACUGGUUCAAAGGGUUAAUUAAUUAACCUAAUUAGUUAAAAGCGCCGAAGAUAUAGCGGAUCUAAAACAAAACACCGACACCUUGUCCAUAAUAAUAAUAGUAGGUUAAAUCCUAAGUUAAUAUACUUAAAUGUUAUUUGAGUAUUAUUUAUGGGGUAGCGGAACAUUGGGUACAUAGGAUUAAAAAUAGGAGAAGAUAGUUUUCAAAUAUCUUUUUUAAUAUAUAAAAACAAAGGUAACGGGGCAUUCGGAAAACUAUUUUGAUGAUUACAUUUGUAAUUUGCCCGCUAAAUAGCGGGUUUCCAUAAAUAUCCCAAGUGAGAAUGCUGACACGAGUAACGAAAAAGAGGAUACCCCCCUUCACGGGGGCCCUCUCGCCUUAAGCUUAUGGUAUUAAAGGAGUGAAUCGGUCUCUAAAUUAAACCUAAAGGAUAAAAUGAUGAGAAAUUAUAUGUAAAAACAUAAAGAAAUAGAGUAAAAUGUUCUGGAAAAAAACAUAUAGAUUGGGAUGUAAACUAGUAAAUAAGCUAAAAAAGAGAAUUGGGCUAAAUUUAAGCCCAUUAUUCGUGCUAGAAAACAAACUAAAUAGAUGACUCUAGCUAAAAGUUAUGUACUAGGGCUAAGAAACGAAAGAUAUUCUUGCACUCCUAAUUGAGAAACCGUACCUAAAAACUACCACAAGUAAGCGAGUAGAGAAUACGAAGGCGUUUGAGCUAACAAUCAUUAAGGAACUCGGCAAAUUGACACCGUAACUGAGGGAGAAGGUGUGCCAUUCCUACUGAUUAAUAUCAGUUUAGGAAGAGGAGACAUAAAAUGGUGUUGCACGACUGUUUAAUUAAAACACAGCACUUUGCGUAAGAUGUAAAUCAAUGUAUAGAGUGUGCUAUCUGCCCAAUGAUGGCUGGUUAACGGAUUUACUUAGACGACUAAAAUAGGAUAGGUUUUGAAGGAACCCCCAUUUAAUGGCGGCCUUACCUAUGAGGGUCCUAAGGUAGCGAAAUACCUUGGCAUUUAAAUGAUGUCGCGCAUGAAUGAUCUCACGAUGCAACAGCUGUCUCAAUGAUUGGCUCAGUGAAACUGGAAUGGCAGUGAAGAUACUGCCUAUCUCUAGAUAGACGAGAAGACCCCAUGCAGCUUUACUGUUACUAGUUAUAGGGUAUAAUCGAACAGGUUUUAGGGAAUAAGGUAGUUGAACGACAUAAUUGAAACACCUUUACUCUGGUUAUUAUAUCAGUAGAAUAGGUUACAUUAUUGUAGCUGACGUCUGAAUGUAAUCCAUAAAAGGAGGGAGAUUAUAUCAAGCUCAGGAGACAAUGGCUAGCAGAUGGUUUAUGCGGGGCACAGAUCCCAUAAAGAGUACCUGGGAGUAUCCAAAUUUAUUUUUGUAAUAUGCUAUACGCAAAUUAUAUAGGGCUUUUAUUAAAUAAUCGCUUUAUAUAUUCUAAUUUUUUAAUUACUAUAUUUAGUUUGUUAUUUUUUAUAUUUAUUUUUAUCGGAGUUCUCAGAAAUGUGUAAUUGGAGAUAAAGUAUCUAUAACUAAUUCAGUUAUAUUUCUAUUUAAGUUAGAACUAAAACAAUUUAAUAUAAGUAAGAUUUUACCUAUGUGGAAAAUAGGUGUAUAUAUAGUAUUAAUAAUGAAUAUCUAACUAUAACGAGUGAGUUAUUGCAGAAACGUUUUUUGUUUCUAUAGGAUCCAUUAUAACACUAUUAGUUAUUUUUUUUUAAGAAAAAUGAUGUUGAUAUAUACUUCCAAAGUUUAAUGGCUUAAUCUUGCUUUACUGUUUGACAUACACGUCUAUCAGUUGCGUAAGCAGGGCAUAAAGACCGCAAGACGCAGUAAGGAAAGGUCUUGUAUUAUUGAAAAAGCUACGCUGGGGAUAACAGGCUAAUUGCGCCAGAGAGUACAAAUUGAGUGCGCAGUUUGGCACCUCGAUGUCGGCUUAGCUCAUCCACAUGAAUGCAGGAAUCAUGAAGGGUACGACUGUUCGUCGAUUAAAGAGCUACACGAGCUGGGUUAAAUACGUCGUGAGACAGUAUGGUUUCUAUCUUCUAGAGAAAAAUGGAAGUAAAAUAAGGAUAGCCCCUUCGUACGAAAGGAGUUGGGUAUGGUAACCUCUGGUUUACCUGUUGUUUAUACGCUUAAUAUUAACUUGAUAAAUUAAAGCAAGAAUAGGUUCUUCUU
rnacentral:rRNA from 1 species